rnacentral:rRNA from 1 species
AUUGAACGCUGGCGGCAGGCCUAACACAUGCAAGUCGAGCGGAUGAAGGGAGCUUGCUCCUGGAUUCAGCGGCGGACGGGUGAGUAAUGCCUAGGAAUCUGCCUGGUAGUGGGGGAUAACGUCCGGAAACGGGCGCUAAUACCGCAUACGUCCUGAGGGAGAAAGUGGGGGAUCUUCGGACCUCACGCUAUCAGAUGAGCCCAGGUCGGAUUAGCUAGUUGGUGGGGUAAAGGCCUACCAAGGCGACGAUCCGUAACUGGUCUGAGAGGAUGAUCAGUCACACUGGAACUGAGACACGGUCCAGACUCCUACGGGAGGCAGCAGUGGGGAAUAUUGGACAAUGGGCGAAAGCCUGAUCCAGCCAUGCCGCGUGUGUGAAGAAGGUCUUCGGAUUGCAAAGCACUUUAAGUUGGGAGGAAGGGCAGUAAGUUAAUACCUUGCUGUUUUGACGUUACCAACAGAAUAAGCACCGGCUAACUUCGUG